GUGAGGAAUAUUGCGCAAUGGAGGCAACUCUGACGCAGCCAUGCCGCGUGCAGGAAGAAGGCGCUACGCGUUGUAAACUGCUUUUAACCGGGAAGAAACCCCAGGACGUGUCCUGGGUUGACGGUACCGGAGGAAUAAGCACCGGCUAACUUCGUGCCAGCAGCCGCGGUAAUACGAAGGGUGCAAGCGUUAUCCGGAUUCAUUGGGUUUAAAGGGUGCGUAGGCGGAGCGUUAAGUCAGUGGUGAAAUCCUGCAGCUUAGCUGUAGACUUGCCAUUGAUACUGGCGCUCUUGAGUGCGCUUGAAGUGGGCGGAAUGUGCCGUGUAGCGGUGAAAUGCUUAGAUAUGGCACAGAACACCAAUUGCGAAGGCAGCUCACUAAGGCGAUACUGACGCUGAGGCACGAAAGCGUGGGGAUCGAACAGGAUUAGAUACCCCAGUAGUCC
rnacentral:rRNA from 1 species